rnacentral:tRNA from 1 species
AGAGGUUUAGGUUAAACUAGACCAAGGGCCUUCAAAGCCCUAAGCAAGUACAAUUUACUUAACCUCUG